CGAAAACUUCUGGCCCCCGCGAUCCUGGACGGGUGGAUUCCCAGCCCGGAACUGGAACGGACUCUUCUUCGUCCGAAGGAAAGCGGAGCCGAGACGGAGACGCUUCGGCGCAGCUUCGGAGAGGAGUCAGCAAUUUGGAAGAGGCUGAUUUGGAGUGGAUACUUUCAAUUAUCUGAUUGUAAGAAGAGUGCCUUCAAAAGAUUGCACAGCGUUUACAGAAUUCCUCAGCUGUGUGACGAUAGAAGCAUUGUAAUGAAUGGCAGAGUGUCAUGCAGUGGCAAAGGGCCUAUAGGAUAUUAAAGCCGUUCUGAAACUGAGUUGCUCCAGCUGGCCAGGCAACAGUCCACAAUCUCACCACGAAGACAGCGAUCUCUGCUCCUCGAUAAUAACAUGGGCAAACCAAGAAUGGGCAACUUGGAAGUCCCUGAACAGACUCAGAAGUGGAGUAUGCAGAUCAAAAGACAACCUGGCAAAAUGGCACUACCUAGAAGAAUCCUCCACCUUGUGUGACUGUGGGGCAGAACAAACAACUCAGCAUCUUUAUGCUUGCCCACAAUGCCCUGCCUCAUGUACAGAGGAAGAAUUGCUUAAAGCUACAGACAAUGCGGUCGCUGUUGCCCAUUUUUGGUCAAAAAUUAUUGAGCCGCUUGUGUUCCCUCUAUUUUUUAUCAGUUUUAUAUUUAUUUAUGCAAUGCUUUUGACUCGAAAUAAAUAAAUAACAUAUA